rnacentral:tRNA from 1 species
UCCCUGGUGGCUCAGAAGGUAAAGCAUCUGCCUGCAAUGUGGGAGACCUGGGUUUGAUUCCUGGGUUGGGAA